rnacentral:misc_RNA from 1 species
GAUGAAGAACGUAGUGAAAUGCGAUAAGUAGUGUGAAUUGCAGAAUUCAGUGAAUCAUCGAAUCUUUGAACGCACAUUGCGCCCUUUGGUAUUCCUUAGGGCAUGCCUGUUCGAGCGUCAUUUAAACCUUCAAGCUCAGCUUGGUGUUGGGUGACUGUCCGCUUCACCGCGGACUCGCCUCAAAAUUAUUGGCGGCCGGUACAUUGGCUUCGAGCGCAGCAGAAACGCGAACUCGGGCCCGUCGUAUUGGCUCCCAGAAGCUAUCUUCACAAUUUUGACCUCGCAUCAGGUAGGGAUACCCGCUGAACUUAAGCAUAUCAAUAAGCGGAGGA